rnacentral:rRNA from 1 species
AUUGAACGCUGGCGGAAUGCUUUACACAUGCAAGUCGAACGGCAGCACGGACUUCGGUCUGGUGGCGAGUGGCGAACGGGUGAGUAAUACAUCGGAACGUGCCCAAUCGUGGGGGAUAACGCAGCGAAAGCUACGCUAAUACCGCAUACGAUCUAAGGAUGAAAGCGGGGGAUCGCAAGACCUCGCGCGAUUGGAGCGGCCGAUGGCAGAUUAGGUAGUUGGUAGGGUAAAGGCCUACCAAGCCGACGAUCUGUAGCUGGUCUGAGAGGAUGAUCAGCCACACUGGGACUGAGACACGGCCCAGACUCCUACGGGAGGCAGCAGUGGGGAAUUUUGGACAAUGGACGCAAGUCUGAUCCAGCCAUUCCGCGUGCAGGAUGAAGGCCCUCGGGUUGUAAACUGCUUUUGUACAGAACGAAAAGGUUUCUACUAAUACUAGGAGCUCAUGACGGUACUGUAAGAAUAAGCACCGGCUAACUACGUGCCAGCCGCCGCCGUAA